rnacentral:misc_RNA from 1 species
GAUGAAGAACGUAGCAAAAUGCGAUAAGUAAUGUGAAUUGCAGAAUUCAGUGAAUCAUCGAAUCUUUGAACGCACAUUGCGCCCGCCAGUAUUCUGGCGGGCAUGCCUGUUCGAGCGUCAUUUCAACCCUCAAGCACAGCUUGGUGUUGUGACUCGCGUUAAUUCGCGUUCCCCAAAUUGAUUGUCGGUCACGUCGAGCUUCCAUAGCGUAGUAGUAAAACCCUCGUUACUGGUAAUCGUCGCGGCCACGCCGUUAAACCCCAACUUCUGAAUGUUGACCUCGGAUCAGGUAGGAAUACCCGCUGAACUUAAGCAUAUCAAUAAGCGGAGGA